rnacentral:lncRNA from 1 species
GGGUUGGGCCAGGCCCUCACUGACGGCACCCGGUGACUCAGCACGAGCUGGCUGGCCACGCCCAGGCGUGCGCGACCUGGCCCAGGUCCUGGGAAGGCCCCAGACCCCAUGUGGAGGACUUGGGGGCGUGGGGAGCCCAUCCCGCCCUGCUGCACCCUCGCUGCCCCUCCCACACCCACUGGCACUGUCCCUGCAGGUGGCCUGCACAGUGCAGAGUGGGGCUCUGUGGAGGGCAGACCACCUGCUUGUUCUCAGCCCUUCCCAGCCAGACCUGCAGCCAGGGCUCUCCACCUGCACACCUGCCCAGGAAGCCCGCUGGGCCCAGAGACCGGGGCACAGGACCUGCCAUCAUGGCACAAGGAGCUUCCUGGUGGGAGAGAUGGGAGCUAGGGGAAGAGGAAGGGAGGGUCCUGUCUCCCUAGCCCACCCUGGGCCUCCUAGCAGAAGAGCCCCACCUGUCCACCACCUCCAGCCUCCGGCCUCUGAACUGGUGGGGGCUACAAUGCUGGAAGCAGGUAGUGCAGCCUCCUACUGUCGAAAGGCCCAGGGGAAGAGAGCAUGUGGGACAGGGCCAGUGCCCCCAACAUGGCCACACCCGGAGGCUCCAGGGGCCUCGAGGCCACCUGCCUGCGGCAGCCAUGUCAUCCGGGGCUCACCCAAAGCCCCUGCAUGGGGAGGGGUCCUGGAAUAGCCAUGUGACCAUGGAUCUCGGCCUCCUCUUCCCUGCUCCCCCGUACAGGUGGCCUGGGAGCCCCACCUCCUCCCCAGGGUGCUCUGACAUCAGAAGGGCUGUGACGGGAAGGCCACACCUUCACAGGACCUGCGGGUGCCUGCCUGGGACCUGGCUCUCAGUGGGCACCCAGCCCCCUCCUGGUGUUGCCUGGGGAGUCCUAGGGAUUCGACCCAUCUCCUUGUCCAGGAAGUGACCACUGGGAAGGCGGUGCACCCCCCUCCAAGUCAUGACUUGGGGUGUAAGCUGGUCCCGGCCUCCCCGCCCCCGCCCCCAGCAUCACAGUAAGCCUGGCAGAUUGGUCAUAUUCAGAAACCACCCAGAGGGGCUGGGUGUGGCACAUACCUGGAAUCCUAGCACUUUGGGAAAGCCAGGAGGUGAUCACUUGAGCCCAGGAGUUCAAGACCAGCCUGGGCAACACAGUGAGACCUCAUCUCUACAAAACAUACAAAAGUUAGCUGAGUAUGGUGGUGUGCUACUCAGGAGGCUGAUGUGGGAAGCUCAUUUGAGCCCUGGGGUUUCUGGCUGCAGUGAGCUGUGAUUGUGCCACUACACUCCAGCCUGGGUGACAGUGAGACCCCAUCUCAAAAAAAAAA